UCAUAUGCUUGUCCCGAAGCUUAAGCCAUGCAUGUUUGGAACAUCGAGGGCGUGAUGCCCCAGAGAAUCUGCGAACGGCUCCGUAUAUCUGUUAUCACCUCCCGCCCCGAACCCAAUUGAAUCGGAAUAACUACGGUAAUUCUGUGGCUAAUACGUAUAACCAGGGGACGCCCGUACGAGCCCUCAAAAGCUCAGGGCGACCCCGGUCUUGCCGAUCGAACCAGUGGAGGGUAAAACCUCUCGCGUGAGAGCAGGCAAGUGUACCUGGGCCGCUACAGCCGGCCCUGGGCGACGGGCAUCAGACCUAUCAACUAGACGCCCAGGUAAGGCCUGGGCGUGGUGAUAACGGGUACAGAGGACCAGGGUUCGGUCCUGGAGAGGUAGCCUGAGAGAUCGCUACUACUUCUAAGGAAGGCAGCAGGCGCGCAACGUUCCCAAUGGGGUAACCCUGAGGACGUGAAGGGACAUACCGAUGCCCGGCCUAUAAAGCCGGGCAAUCGGAAUGGGGGACUAUUAAACCCCACACCGAGUAACAAUUGGAG
rnacentral:rRNA from 1 species